rnacentral:tRNA from 1 species
GGGGAUAUAGCUCAGAUGGGAGAGCGCAUCGGUGGCAUCGAUGAGGCCGGGGGUUCGACUCCCCCUAUCUCCA